GAGAAAGGCAAGGACCCUCCUGGUGACUAACUUAACAAUAGAAGAUAUCAAAGACGGGCAUUUGAACAAGGUUUCUUGGAGAGGAACAAAGUCUUCUGGUACCUCCCUAUGAGACACCUAGGUGCAAGCUACCAUCAUGAAACACAUCAUCUGCCAGCUGCACUCAACAGGGGACAGGAUAUGCAGGGCUUAGAGAAAGUGCUGCUUGCUAACUCUACAUUUCCAUGUUACAUCCUUGUCGUUGUGGAAAGAGAAAGAGAAGAAAGGGAAGAUAUGAUAGCAGGAACAUUCACUGAAGUACAGACUCACUGAGCAAUCAUGACAAGUUAAAUCCCACUUACUCCUCAAGACAUGGCUUCUAUGUCAGCUCUUCAACAAAUCCUUCCCUCAUUUCCCAGGCUCACCAGGAACUCUCUUCACUGGGCCUCCAAAGGCACACUAUGAAUACUUCGAGAAUUCCACUUUGCCCUACGACCAUCUCUCCACGUGCUCUUCUAGGCUUAUAAGCAUAUGAGAGCAAGGAAUGUGACUUUCAUUUUGAAUAACUGUUGUAUGAAUGUAAAACAUAUUUAGCAAUUUAUCAUAUCUCAUGAUUGCCCUUAAAUCUAAAUCUUGGAAUCAUCUUUAUCUACAUUUUUAUUAUUUUGUUUUUUAUAGGCUUGCAGCUUAUCUUUCCAUGUA